AUUAAGUUUUUGACUGAUGCUGCCUCUACUCAAUUCAGGAACCUUUCAAUUUGGAAUUAAUUACAAUUCCAACCUCUACUGGUUUUUCUACUUUGUUUAGGGUGGAAGCAUUUUCUUCUCUGGUUAUAAAUGAGCAUACGAGGCUCCAUUGUCGGGUGUAAAGGUGUGUUGAUGUACUUUUUGACUUCUUUUUUAAAGCACAGCAAAUUAGUUUCUGUAAAAAUCGUUUAUAUGACCUUAAACUCAAUAAAAUUAUAUUAAAUUCUUUUA